rnacentral:rRNA from 1 species
UAUUUGCCUGAGAACUACUGGCCACAGCUUAAAACUCAAAGGACUUGGCGGUACUUUAUAUCCAUCUAGAGGAGCCUGUUCUAUAAUCGAUAAACCCCGCUAUACCUCACCACCCCUUGCUAAUACAGCCUAUAUACCGCCAUCUUCAGCAAACCCUAAAAAGGAGCAAAAGUAAGCAAGAGAAUCNCCAUAAAAACGUUAGGUCAAGGUGUAGCCAAUGAGGUGGGAAGCAAUGGGCUACAUUUUCUUACAAAGAACAUUACGCUACCCUUUAUGAAACUAAAGGACAAAGGAGGAUUUAGUAGUAAAUUAAGAAUAGAGAGCUUAAUUGAAUAGAGCAAUGAAGUACGUACACACCGCCCG